AUUGAACGCUGGCGGCAGGCCUAACACAUGCAAGUCGAACGAGUGGCGGACGGGUGAGUAAUGUCUGGGAAACUGCCCGAUGGAGGGGGAUAACUACUGGAAACGGUAGCUAAUACCGCAUACCAUCGGAUGUGCCCAGAUGGGAUUAGCUUGUAUGUGAGGUAACGGCUCACCUAGGCGACGAACCCUAGCUGGUCUGCGAGGAUGACCAGCAAAGUGGGAACUGAGACACGAUCCAGACUCCUACGGGAGGCAGAAGUGGGGAAUAUGGCACAAGGGGCGAAAGGUGGAAGCAGCCAUGCCGCGUGUAGGAAGAAGGCCGUCGGGUUGUAAAGUACUUUCAGCGGGGAGGCAUUACCCGCAGAAGAAGCACCGGCUAACUCCGUGCCAGCAGCCGCGGUAAUUC
rnacentral:rRNA from 1 species